UACGAAGGGUGCAAGCGUUACUCGGAAUUACUGGGCGUAAAGCGUGCGUAGGUGGUUUGUUAAGUCUGAUGUGAAAGCCCUGGGCUCAACUUGGGAACUGCAUCCGAUACUGGAUGGCUUGAAUUCGGGAGAGGGAUGCAGAAUUCCAGGUGUAGCGGUGAAAUGCGUAGAUAUCUGGAGGAAUACCGGUGGCGAAGGCGGCAUCCUGGACCGACAUUGACGCUGAGGAGCGAAAGCUAGGGGAGCAAACGGG
rnacentral:rRNA from 1 species